GGACAAGCUGGCUGUGAGAACUGUCUCCGCAUUGAUCACUAGGGUUGAUGUGACUAAUCUGGCUGGCUAUUUAAUUGUCCCCUUCCUCCCAAAGCUGUGCAGUGGGUGGAAGAGAAUGACCUUCCCCAAAUAGAAGAGGAGCAGUGUUCAGUCGAGGGUGUUCCAGGAACUGGGAUCCCCUGUUAAAACAUUCUAGACAAGCUUCCAAGUCCCCAAGUUCCCUAUAUAAAAACUUUAGCAGGUUAGUAGAAAAACAAAUCAAUCACCUGACGUGAUUUUAUUAUUCUUCAUAGUGGU
rnacentral:snRNA from 1 species